rnacentral:tRNA from 1 species
GCUCCAGUAGCGCAAUUGGUUAGCGUGUGGUACUUAUAAUGCUGAGGUUGUGAGUUCAAUCCUCACCUGGAGCA